UCUUUGCCGUCCCUAAACCCUAGGGAAGGCGAAGAAGGAGAGGGGAUCCUCGACCCCAUAGAGGGUUGCCCCGCGGACGGCAUCGCUGGAGUCUCGGACUCUUCGAAGGUGGCUGAUCUCGGAGCCAGCAUGAGCUGACGGAGGGAUAUCGGAUGACGAUGUGAGUCUGGUGGGUCACUUCCUCGGGGAGACGCUGUAGAUGGCCCGGGAGCGGUUGGCGAGUGAGUCUUCUUGAUUGCUAGGUCAUAUUACUGCAGUUCUAUUUCCUUCUUGUUUUAUUGUGGUUGAUGUGAGCAGACUCACCAUUCCUCUUUGGAUAACAUUACCCUUCAAAGUUCAAAUUACUUACAUCUUAUGCAAGUUUUUAAUGACGGUGGAUUGUAUCUUUUCUCGAUCUUCAAUGUUUGAUGUCAUGUCCUGGCAUGAACGAAUAUGGUGCUCUAAUAUAUUGAGUAAAUCUAUGAGGAAAAGAAAAGAGAGAAACAUCAGGCAUGUGAAUCUUCGUAUGUUUUGAUGGUAAGAGAGCAAUCGACGUCACGGAUAUGGAAGCGAUCACUGGAUGAGCUAAAGCUGUUUUUGAUGUUUCUGUUACUUAAAACAUUCCUCAAAAUUUGACAACUAAAAGAGAACUUUCUAUUAGAAAAGGAUACAUAAACAGAAGAUGAUUCUUGCACCAUUUCUAGAGUUCUGAAAAUAUAAAGCUUCAAUGAAGUCUCAAAUUAUAAGCACACCAUCAUUACAUCCAUAAUUCUAUUGGAGAUUCUACAUAUAGUUAACAUAUGUUGUGUGUGAUGCGGUAAGAUAUGGCCAUAUAGCAAGUCAGAGUGUUGCCACAAUGAUGUAGCUUUUAUGGAUGAACUAAGGGUGAGAUUUUAUAUGUUUCAUUAUAUAGUUGAAAUCAGGAUGGAAAUUCUAGAGGCUUCUUGAGAGUAUAGAAUUCCGAGUUGGUCACUGGAUUUCGUUAAUACAUAUGGCACUCCUGUAUACAAAAGGUGAUUAUUGGAUUAACUUAGUUAACUAAGCGGAGUGUGUUUUUUGACUUCUCUCCUCUACAAUGAGGAAUUGGGUGAUGGUCAAUUUUUCAUGUGUAAUUUAAAAUGAAUUUAAGGUCCUUCUCAUUGUUAGGAUUUCUUGGGUAUAAAGCUGAAUAUGAAACAAGAUAAACUAAUGUGACAGAAAUAUAUUUGUUUACAAUUUAGCGUAGCAAACAUAGAUCACUUUAGGCAUGAUGACAGAAUGUUGUGUAUUGCUACAUAUAUACACACACAUUUGAAUAUUAGUUACCUUAUGUAGUACCUGAGAUAAGCAUUGUUGUUUUGAUGCUUUCUUUUCUAAAUCAUAUUUCACAUUUAUUUGACCAUGCUUGUAACAAGAUACAUUCUUGUUGGACAAACUUAGAUGUACUUCUUGCAUGAAGUAUGUAAACCAAUAAUAAAAGAGAUGUGAGGUUUUUAGGUAAGAUAUUUUUGACUACUACUGACAUGAUAAAUGAUACACAUGAAGUAUAUGGUUAAGAAACAGAUGGGGAUGCCAGCAAGUUCUGAGUCACUUUAAGUGGCGGCUACAUGAAGUUUGUUGUAUCAGCCUCCAGCAUUCCCAAGUUUCCAUAAUCAGUGGGCUUGCCCCACGAAGGCAUGUUCAAUGCUCUAACUCUUUAAUAUUAUAGAUUGAACUUAUUUUUUUCACUUAUUCACUUUAUAUACACAACUCAGAACUUCUAGAGUUACUGCUUAUGCUAAAUCACAGGAAUUUUUAAGAUAUAUUUUUUACCAUAAUAUCACUUGAAUUUAACAAUCAAUUUUUUAAAAAUAAUUUUUUUAGGUCUCAUUGUUAACGUCUCAUGAUUUAUGUAGUAUAAAAAAAUAUAUAUAUGAUUUUUUUGCAGAUUAUUUCUUUUAAAGUUACUUUCAAUAAUUUUUCUCAAGUCUAUCUGCCAAGAUUUUAACUAAGAAAAUCAAUUCUUGUUCAUUUUUUAGGAUAGAACAAGUGGUUGAGAAGUUUAUAUCAAGGUCUGCCAUACCGAAGCGUACCGCCCGGUACGGGCGGUACGUACCGGUCCGAUAGAUUAUCGAUACGUGGAUCGUCCGGUACCGCUACAGUGAUACAGUAUAAUAUUGUAGCACUGCUACAGUGCUGCGGUGAUAUACCGUAGCACUGCUACAGUAUGAAAAAAAAUAUAAAAGUACUCGGUACACCGAUGUCGUACCGUACCGAGCCCGGGUCGAAACACCGGUACGGUACGGUACGAUAAGGUGAACCUUGAUUUAUAUACAUUCCUACUAAGCAGAAAAAAUUCAGGGGUUGCCAAUUAGUUAUCUAAAAUUAGCAGCACAGCCUAUCACAUAGCAUUAUUGUCUAUAAAAGAAAGCAUCAGCAAUACAAAUACCCUCUCUUCUAAGAUCAGUUAUCAUAGAAGCAUCCAAGAAAGAAAAGAAGAAUAUGGCAAUCCUCCACCUUUUUCAUCCGGGCUUGGGAUUCAUUUUGAUGGUGUUUAAGUGAUAGAGUAGCCAAUAUUUUGGGACCGUGAUGUCACAGACAAAAUUCUAAAUAUGAUGUUUGAUGUAAUGCUUAUGUAUGUCCGUGUUUUUUGGUUUUUCAUGCUUUGCACAACAUGUAGAGGGACGGUCGAAGGCUUAACAACCCCAUUUUAGUUAGGCUUGGUGGUUGUUUUAGGCUUGUAAAUAAAUAUUGUGUUAUGUAGACACUUGUGAGAGAUAUUCGGUCUGUUGUGGAUAAUUUUGACCCUUUGUUGUGCAACCGUUCAGAGCUUGUAAAGUCUUUUUGUAAUUUGCAUUGUCUAUAUAGUGUUUUAUGAAAUGUUUGCUUGUGACCCUUUGUUGCUUGUGGACACUUGUUUAUAUAAUGUUUUCUGAAAUAUUUGCUUGUGGACACUUAUGAGAGAUAUUCGGUCUGUAGUGGAUAAUUUUGACCCUUUGUUGUGUAACCGUUCAGAGCUUGCAAAGUCUCUUUGUAAUUUGCAUUGUCUAUGUAGUGUUUUCUGAAAUGUUUGCUUGUGGAUCCCGAGUAAGGCGCUUUCUUUAACCCGUUUUCUUUUUUGUAGGUUCUAAGAGACCAUGGGAGGUUUCGGAGAGGUUGACAUUUGCGGACGGACACGCAAGGGUGCCGCACGACAAGGCAAAACUAGCUAAGUCCGUGAUAGAUAGUAUCAGAGCGGGACAAGUACUUAUAGAAACACUUGACGUGCAAACGUGCGGGGACCUAGCGGGGCUACGUUGAGGGCAGCCAACAUGUGUAAUCGUUUGGGGGAAAACAGAUAUGAAGAUGUAGGGAAAAUGAGUCGCUCGGAGGAGCGGACAUAUAAGAUUGACAUUCAGAGGAAUGACCAACCUUUCGCGCAAGAGACACCAUGAGAACAAGCAAGCUUGAAAGAAUACAUAGCGCACAAAGGUUGGGAUGGCUGAGUUCGAGCUACGGCUCGACGUUGACAACAAUACUUGAUGGUACUCAAGGCAAGCGAGACAUUUAGUAAAGGAUGAGACCAUAUAAGGUGGAAUAGGUUGCUCAACAAGUUGUGCAAAGCUCACAGAGGUGAGGGGAAUUGCUGACUCGAAGAAUUUGAUACAUGGUCAUUCCAAGGCGAUCGAAACUCGACGCUAUGGAGCAUUGGAACUUUCUCUUCGGCGCGAUAUGUUGGCAGAGGCCAUACAUGAAGGGAUCACAAUCCAAGUUCAUCCCACAAGGAUCAGAAUGCAAUAGAGAUGUCAUCAGGAGGCGACAUGGUGCAGCGGAUCGUGGUGGAACAGUUCGUGGCAAUGCGAUACACACGAAUCUAGUCCCGUGAGGAAUUAUAUCAUAUGGAGAUAUGAUCGGGAGCUACUGGGAGCUCCACUUCGGUAAACAACAUGACGACAAGAAGGGCUAUGAAUUCAAAGAGUGAAAGCCAUGGUACCGUAGAGGCGGGUUUUCCGUGCGUGCAUCGAAUUUUGCAUUGGAUGAAAGCAUUGGUCAUCAACAUAUGGGGGCUAUGUACCACCGAGGGAAAAGUUCGAAUGCAAGUACCAAGUGAGUCUCAUGGGAGGGACUUAAUCAUGCAGAGGUAUUAUCGAAGCAACUGGAGAGUUGGACUGCUCCAGAGCCCAUAUUUACUUAAGGGAGCCCGGCAAGUCAGAGAACAAGGCCGAGUAAGCGAACGUUGCUACCAAGGAAGCUAAGGAGAACAGAAUUGAUGUAAACCCUACAACAUGAUGGCAAAGACCAUGCAUGAGAAUUGCAGUCCGUCUUUCUAUCGACCAACGAAAACUGCUUGGAGAACACAGAGGUGUUGAAGUUGGGGGUUGAAAGGGGCGAGGAAGCGACAAUAAGUCCAGAGGGACUUAGCUACGCAAAACCAAGCAUCAGUUAGAAUGGAGGUGGACUCGGAGGAGUGCCACAGAGACAUAUCUAUUGAUCGUGAAGAAAAUGGAUGCAGAUGCGAGGCGAAGGAUAGUAGGGCCAUGGUACAGCAGAGGCGGGACUUCCAUGAAGUAAUUGAUCCCUUGCUCUCAUGGAGGGAGAGCGUUUGGUUGUGAAAGGGGUCGAGGAGGUGGAGCAUGCAGAGGCAAACUCCAAGUACCGAGACAAGGUUGAAGGGCAGAGGCCAAGGAACUUCGUAAGAACAGUGUCAACGAGCUUCUCAUCAAGUUAACCAAUAAUAAAGGACUUCGGGUUAUGCAAGAGUAUACAACCGAGGAACGAAGCAGGCAGUACGUGGUGCUGUACCUUUGCUACUCAGUGGAGUAGGUGACAGGGUUGAUGGAGAAGACAGUACAAUCCAAGAGGCGGCCAAAACUAUUAGAGACUUACUCCGUUGGGGUAAAAACUUCUUGCAGUCCAGAAGUUCGAUGACAUUGAGAAGGUGAAUCACAGUAGCUAACUCAACGCAAGAAGUGCAAAUACUUUGAGUGCUUCAGAAGUGUGAGCAAAGAGCAGGCGAAGGUCAGUAACCAGCUCGAUGCAUUGAAUAUAACUCUCGAGGAGGCGGGCGAAGUCAAGUAACUAUCGCCUUCUCAACUCUUAAGAGAAUGGGCGAAACCGAGUACCCUAACUCUCUUAUCUAUCUAGUAGAGGAGCUCUACACAGGUUCAAAGACCCUUCAAAGAUAAUGGAAGACAAUGAUUGUCAAAUCCUCACCAAUGGUGAUCAGUGCUACUGAGAGUAGAUUAUCAGCUUCAUUUUCCAACAGAAUGUCAAUCGAAAGCAGAAGUGAUGCAAAUCUACUUGAAAGUGACAGCUAAGUCAAGGAAGAGUCGAUGGACAAAUUUUGUGGAGGAAGGACCCAAAACUUCAAAAGUUUGCGAGGCGAGGCUCGUUAAAGCUCCAACAAGUAUCCACCUAGUUCAAGCAGCAUAAAGUAUUUGAGAGACUAGCGCAUAGUAAGGAUGGUCUUUUCCUUCAUUUGAAGGAUCCGCAGGAACCAACAGGGAUCAACACAACUCAGCCAACCUCACACUAGAGUCAGAGUCAUUGGCAAGUUGAAGCAGCAUAGUAGAUCAAAAGUUUGACUACUCAACAACAGCAGCGGAGAGCAGUUGGGAGCCAAGAGACGCAUUGCAGCUAGAGCAGAAGAUUGAAGACUCAGCAAAGGCGAGGAGUUGCAGUGUCGGCAAAGGCUUCGACGAGGACGUUGAAGGAAUAAGUGGGGGAUAAUGUCACGAACGAAAUUCUAAACAGGAUGUUUGAUGUAAUGCUUAUGUAUGUCCGUGUCUUUUGGUUUGUUCAUACUUUGCACAACAUGUAGAGGGACGGUCGAAGGCUUAACAACCCCAUUUUAGUUAGGUUUGGUGGUUGUUUUAGGCUUGUAAAUAAAGGUUGUGUCAUGUGGACACUUGUAAGAGAUAUUCGGUCUGUAGUGGACCAUUUUGACCCUUUUUUGUGCAACCGUUCAGAACUUACAAAGUCUCUUUAUAAUUUGUAUUGUUUAUGUAGUGUUUUCUAAAAUGUCUGCUUGUGGAUCCCGAGUAAGGUGCUUUCUCUAACCCGUUUUCUCUUUUGUAGGUCUUAAGGGAUCAUGAGAGGUUUUGGGGAGGCUACCUUUACGGACGGACACGCAAGGGUGUUGCACGACUAGGCAAAAUCAGCUAAAUCCGUGACAGUGAGGUUGAUUAUAAAGAUUUGGCCUUUGAUAGAAGUUAAUUUGUUUGAGAAAAUAUUUUAGAAUCAUGUAUUGUUGAGACCACACAGUUUCAUCUAGCAAUAAGUUGGAAUGUUUUGUUAUAUUUUAAACGUCAAUAGCAUUAUGUUUUGUGUAAUUAUAGAGCUUUUGUUGUCCACCACCCCC
rnacentral:lncRNA from 1 species